rnacentral:rRNA from 1 species
GUCCACGCCCUAAACGGUGCACACUUGGUGUAGGAGGAAUUGACCCCUUCUGUGCCGGAGCUAACGCGUUAAGUGUGCCGCCUGGGGAGUACGGUCGCAAGAUUAAAACUCAAAGAAAUUGACGGGGGCCCGCACAAGCGGAGGAGCAUGUGGCUUAAUUCGAUGCAACGCGAAGAACCUUACCAGGGUUUGACAUGCAGCUGCACGUCCCAUGAAAGUGGGAUUCCUUCGAGGGUGCUGCACAGGUGCUGCAUGGCUGUCGU